AUACGUAGGUGGCAAGCGUUGUCCGGAAUUAUUGGGCGUAAAGCGCGCGCAGGCGGUCCCUUAAGUCUGAUGUGAAAGCCCACGGCUCAACCGUGGAGGGUCAUUGGAAACUGGGGGACUUGAGUGCAGAAGAGGAAAGUGGAAUUCCAUGUGUAGCGGUGAAAUGCGUAGAGAUGUGGAGGAACACCAGUGGCGAAGGCGACUUUCUGGUCUGUAACUGACGCUGAGGCGCGAAAGCGUGGGGAGC
rnacentral:rRNA from 1 species